GGGUCCUAAUGGUGCUGCAGCUGGUGUCGGUGCCCAACACUCUCAGUGCUAUGCGGCAUGGUAUGGUGCGUGUCCAGGAUUAAAGGUACUAGCUCCAUACUCUUCCGAAGAUGCUCGUGGCUUGCUCAAAGCUGCUAUCAGGGAUCCUGAUCCUGUUGUGUUUCUGGAAAAUGAAUUGCUGUAUGGUGAGUCUUUCCCUAUUUCCGCUGAAGCUCUUGAUUCUAGUUUCUCCCUCCCCAUUGGAAAAGCUAAGAUAGAACGCGAAGGGAAGGAUGUGACCAUCACUGCCUUCUCAAAGAUGGUUGGCUAUGCGAUCAAGGCUGCUGAACUUCUUGCCAAGGAAGGAAUUAGUGCUGAGGUUAUAAAUCUGCGCUCGAUCCGACCACUUGAUAGACCUGCCAUUAAUGCAUCUGUGAGGAAAACCAACAGACUUGUAACUGUUGAGGAAGGAUUUCCACAACAUGGUGUUGGCGCUGAAAUCUG
rnacentral:misc_RNA from 1 species